GCAUCCUUAGUGUAGCGGUAACACAGUAGCUUCCCAUGUUACUAAUGAGGGUUCGACUCCCUUAGGGUGCU
rnacentral:tRNA from 1 species